rnacentral:rRNA from 1 species
UACGAAGGGGGCUAGCGUUGUUCGGAAUCACUGGGCGUAAAGCGCACGUAGGCGGAUUUUUAAGUCAGGGGUGAAAUCCCGGGGCUCAACCUCGGAACUGCCUUUGAUACUGGAGAUCUUGAGUCCGGAAGAGGUAAGUGGAACUGCGAGUGUAGAGGUGAAAUUCGUAGAUAUUCGCAAGAACACCAGUGGCGAAGGCGGCUUACUGGUCCGGAACUGACGCUGAGGUGGCGAAAGCGA